rnacentral:rRNA from 1 species
CGCCUACGGGGGGCUGCAGUGAGGAAUAUUGCGCAAUGGGGGCAACCCUGACGCAGCGACGCCGCGUGGAUGAUGAAGGCCCUUGGGUCGUAAAAUCCUGUCAGAUGGAAAGAAAUGUAUGGGUGUUAAUAUCGCCUGUAUUUGACGGUACCAUCAAAGGAAGCACCGGCUAACUCCGUGCCAGCAGCCGCGGUAAUACGGAGGGUGCGAGCGUUGUUCGGAAUUACUGGGCGUAAAGCGCGCGUAGGCGGUUUGCUAAGUCAGAGGUGAAAGCCCUCGGCUUAACCGGGGACGUGCAUUUGAAACUGGCAGACUUGAGUACUGGAGGGGGUGGUGGAAUUCCCGGUGUAGAGGUGAAAUUCGUAGAUAUCGGGAGGAAUACCGGUGGCGAAGGCGACCACCUGGCCAGAUACUGACGCUGAGGUGCGAAAGCGUGGGGAGCAAACAGGAUUAGAUACCCGAGUAGUCC